rnacentral:rRNA from 1 species
CAAGUCGAGCGAGAAAGUCGCCUUCGGGUGGCGAGUAAAGCGGCGGACGGGUGAGUAACACGUGGGUAAUCUGCCCUUCAGCGGGGGACAACAAUUCGAAAGGAUUGCUAAUACCGCAUACGUCGACAGAAUCUGCGGAUUCUGUCGAGAAAGCUGGGGAUCUUCGGACCUGGCACUGAAGGAGGAGCCCGCGGCGCAUCAGCUUGUUGGUGGGGUAACGGCCUACCAAGGCGAAGACGCGUAGCUGGUCUGAGAGGAUGAUCAGCCACACUGGGACUGAGACACGGCCCAGACUCCUACGGGAGGCAGCAGUGGGGAAUAUUGGACAAUGGGGGAAACCCUGAUCCAGCCAUGCCGCGUGAGUGAUGAAGGCCCUCGGGUCGUAAAGCUCUGUGGAGAGGGACGAACGUCCGUAAAUUAAUACCUUGCGGGGUGACGGUACCUCUUUAGCAAGCACCGGCUAACUCCGUGCCAGCAGCCGCGGUAAUACGGAGGGUGCAAACGUUGCUCGGAAUCAUUGGGCGUAAAGCGCGCGUAGGCGGUCCGGUUAGUCGGAUGUGAAAGCCCUCGGCUUAACCGAG